rnacentral:tRNA from 2 species
GCAAGUAUAGUUUAAGCCAAACAUUAGACUGUGACCCUAAAAAUAGAAGUUAGACCCUUCUUACCUGCC